rnacentral:tRNA from 1 species
GCCCCGGUAGCUCAGUGGUAGAGCAUCUGCAAGUGUGUGAGCGAAAGCCUAGCAAGCACAGAAGGUCGCAGGUUCGAAUCCUGCCCGGUGGCU